CAAGUCGAGUGCGCGUCUGUAGCAAUACAGAUGGCGCACGGCGCACGGGUGCGUAACACGUGGGCAAUCUGCCCUUCGAUGGGGAAUAACUCCGGGAAACCGAAGCUAAUUCCGCAUAACAUUCCUUGGACUGCGGUUCGAGGACUCAAAGCCGUAAGGCGUCGAAGGAGGAGCCCGCGCCCGAUUAGCUAGUUGGUGGGGUAACGGCCCACCAAGGCAAUGAUCGGUAGCUGGUCUGAGAGGAUGGCCAGCCACACUGGAACUGAGACACGGUCCAGACUCCUACGGGAGGCAGCAGUGGGGAAUCUUGCACAAUGGGCGAAAGCCUGAUGCAGCGACGCCGCGUGGGGGAUGAAGCAUCUCGGUGUGUAAACCCCUUUCGACCCGGAAGAAUGCCUCGCAAGAGGACUGACGGUACGGGUAUAAGAAGCCCCGGCUAACUACGUGCCAGCAGCCGCGGUAAGACGUAGGGGGCCAGCGUUGUUCGGAAUUACUGGGUGUAAAGGGUUCGUAGGCGGUGCGGCAAGUUGGGAGUGAAAUCUCUGGGCUCAACCCAGAGGCUGCUUCCAAAACUGCCGUGCUUGAGUGUGGGAGAGGCGCGUGGAAUUGCAGGUGUAGCGGUGAAAUGCGUAGAUAUCUGCAGGAACACCCGUGGCGAAAGCGGCGCGCUGGACCACUACUGACGCUGAGGAACGAAAGCUAGGGGAGCAAACAGGAUUAGAUACCCUGGUAGUCCUAGCCCUAAACGAUCAGGACUUGGGGUGCCACCCGUUCGGGUGUCGUCCCGGAGCUAACGCGUUAAGUCCUGCACCUGGGGAGUACGGUCGCAAGACUGAAACUCAAAGGAAUUUGACGGGGGCCC
rnacentral:rRNA from 1 species